rnacentral:rRNA from 1 species
UACGGGGGGAGCAAGCGUUGUUCGGAUUUAUUGGGCGUAAAGGGCGCGUAGGCGGUCGUGACAAGUCACUUGUGAAAUCUCCGGGCUUAACUCGGAACGGUCAAGUGAUACUGUCGGACUAGAGUACAGAAGGGGCAACUGGAAUUCUCGGUGUAGCGGUGAAAUGCGUAGAUAUCGAGAGGAACACCUGCGGCGAAGGCGGGUUGCUGGGCUGAUACUGACGCUGAGGCGCGAAAGCCAGGGGAGCGAACGGG